rnacentral:rRNA from 1 species
AGUGAACGCUGGCGGCGUGCUUAACACAUGCAAGUCGAACGAGAACGGGUUAUAGCUUGCUAUAAUUGUCAGCUAAGUGGCGCACGGGUGAGUAAUGUAUAGGUAAUAUGCCUCUUACUAAGGGAUAACAAAUGGAAACGUUUGCUAAUACCUUAUACUCCUUAUUAACAGAAGUUAAGAAGGGAAAGAUUUAUUGGUAAGAGAUUAGCCUGUAUUGUAUCAGUUAGUUGGUGGGGUAAUGGCUUACCAAGACUAUGACACAUAACUGGUUUGAGAGGAUGAUCAGUCACACUGGAACUGAGACACGGUCCAGACUCCUACGGGAGGCAGCAGUGGGGAAUAUUGCACAAUGGACGAAAGUCUGAUGCAGCAACGCCGCGUGGAGGAUGACACAUUUCGGUGCGUAAACUCCUUUUAUAUGAGAAGAUAAUGACGGUAUUAUAUGAAUAAGCACCGGCUAACUCCGUGCCAGCAGCCGCAGUAA